rnacentral:rRNA from 1 species
CCUACGGGUGGCAGCAGUGGGGAAUAUUGGGCAAUGGGCGCAAGCCUGACCCAGCAACGCCGCGUGUAGGAAGAAGGCUUUCGGGUUGUAAACUUCUUUUAUCAGGGACGAAGCAAGUGACGGUACCUGAUGAAUAAGCUACCGUUAACUGCGGGCCAGCAGCCGCCGGAAUACGUAGGUGGCAAGCGUUAUCCGGAUUUACGGGGUGUAAAGGGGGUGGAGGGGGGAGGGCAAGUCAGCUGUGAAAACCAUGGGCUAAAAGCCUAGCCUGCAUUUGAAACUGUACUUCUUGAGUGCUGGGGAGGGAAGAGGAAUUUGGGGUGUAGCGGUGAAAUGCGUAGAUAUAAGGAAGAACACCAGUGGCGAAGGCAGAUUGCUGGACAGUAAAUGACGCUGAGGCGCGAAAGCGUGGGGAGCAAACAGGAUUAGAUACCCUUGUAGUC